rnacentral:rRNA from 1 species
CAAUAGCGUAUAUCAAUGCUGUUGCGGUUAAAAAGCUCGUAGUUGGAUUUGUGUGUGUGGGAGUGUUACAGGGCAAGACUCUGUGGGCUUUUGUGCACUUUUUCGUCCUUUUUUUCUCAAAGAGGAUGACAUCACUUUGAACAAAUUAGAGUGUUCAUAGCAGGCGUACGUGCCUUUGCAUAUCAUAGCAUGGAAUGACGUAUAAGACACUGGACCCGUUUUGUUGUCUCGACGGGAGCAGAGUAAUGAUGGAUAGGGACGGACGGGGGCAUGAGUAUUACUGCUUAAGAGGUGAAAUUCUUAGAUCGCAGUACGACUAGCUGAUGCGAAAGCCAUUGCCAAGAACGUUUNCAUUGA